GAUGAACGCUGGCGGCGUGCCUAAUACAUGCAAGUCGAGCGAACGGACGAGAAGCUUGCUUCUCUGAUGUUGGCGGCGGACGGGUGAGUAACACGUGGAUAACCUACCUAUAAGACUGGGAUAACUUCGGGAAACCGGAGCUAAUACCGGAUGAUAUUUUGAACCGCAUGGUUCAAAAGUGAAAGACGGUCUUGCUGUCACUUAUAGAUGGAUCCGCGCUGCAUUAGCUAGUUGGUAAGGUAACGGCUUACCAAGGCAACGAUGCAUAGCCGACCUGAGAGGGUGAUCGGCCACACUGGAACUGAGACACGGUCCAGACUCCUACGGGAGGCAGCAGUAGGGAAUCUUCCGCAAUGGGCGAGAGCCUGACGGAGCAACGCCGCGUGAGUGAUGAAGGUCUUCGGAUCGUAAAACUCUGUUAUUAGGGAAGAACAUAUGUGUAAGUAACUGUGCACAUCUUGACGGUACCUAAUCAGAAAGCCACGGCUAACUACGUG
rnacentral:rRNA from 1 species